AUUUAAAUAGCUUAUAAAGAGCACAACAUUGAAGAUGUUGAGGAAAUAUUCAUUAUUUUUAAAUA
rnacentral:tRNA from 1 species